rnacentral:rRNA from 1 species
GACGAACGCUGGCGGCGUGCUUAACACAUGCAAGUCGAACGGUAAGGCCCUUCGGGGUACACGAGUGGCGAACGGGUGAGUAACACGUGGGUGAUCUGCCCUGCACUUCGGGAUAAGCCUGGGAAACUGGGGCUAAUACCGGAUAGGACCACUGCCUGCAUGGGUGGUGGGGGAAAGCUUUUGCGGUGUGGGAUGGGCCCGCGGCCUAUGAGCUUGUUGGUGGGGUGAUGGCCUACCAAGGCGACGACGGGUAGCCGGCCUGAGAGGGUGACCGGCCACACUGGGACUGAGAUACGGCCCAGACUCCUACGGGAGGCAGCAGUGGGGAAUAUUGCACAAUGGGCGCAAGCCUGAUGCAGCGACGCCGCGUGAGGGAUGACGGCCUUCGGGUUGUAAACCUCUUUCAGCACCGACGAAGCGCAAGUGACGGUAGGUGCAGAAGAAGGACCGGCCAACUACGUGCCAGCCGCCGCAGUAA